GAAAUGCGAUAAGUAGGGUGAAUUGCAGAAUUUAGCGAAGCAUCGAAUCUUUGAACGCACAUUGCGCCCCUUGGUAUUCCAUGGGGCGUGCCUGUUCGAGCGUCAUUUCAACCCUCAAGCACUGCUUGGUGUUGGGCGUUUGUCCCGCCUACGCGCGUGGACUCGCCUCAAAGUCAUUGGCAGCUGUUCCCCUUCGGCUCGUAAGCGCAGCACAGUCGGCGCCCGGAGCUCUGGUGGGAUGGCGUCCAGCAAGCUAUAUUUUCAGGCUUGACCUCGGAUCAGGUAGGGAUACCCGCUGAACUUAAGC
rnacentral:misc_RNA from 1 species